GUACUCACUUUGGCAGCACAUAUACUAAAAUUGGAAUGAUACAGAGAAGAUUAGCACGGCCCCUGCACAAGAAUGACACAAAUUCGUGAAGCAUUCCAUAUUUUU
ensembl:snRNA U6 U6 spliceosomal RNA